rnacentral:tRNA from 1 species
GGGGCUGUAGCUCAGUGGUAGAGCUCCCGCUUCCUAUGCGGGAAGAUCUGGGUUUUGAUUCCGGCUGCUUCU